CCUACGGGAGGCAGCAGUGAGGAAUAUUGGUCAAUGGUCGGGAGACUGAACCAGCCAAGCCGCGUGAGGGAUGAAGGUACAGAGUAUCGUAAACCUCUUUUGUCAGGGAACAAAGGCGGGGACGUGUCCCCGGAUGAGUGUACCUGAAGAAAAAGCAUCGGCUAACUCCGUGCCAGCAGCCGCGGUAAUACGGGGGAUGCGAGCGUUAUCCGGAUUUAUUGGGUUUAAAGGGUGCGCAGGCGGUCUGUUAAGUCAGCGGUCAAAGCCCGGGGCUCAACCCCGGCCCGCCGUUGAAACUGGCAGUCUCGAGUUGGAGAGAAGUAUGCGGAAUGCGCGGUGUAGCGGUGAAAUGCAUAGAGAUCGCGCAGAACUCCGAUUGCGAAGGCAGCAUACCGGCUCCACACUGACGCUGAGGCACGAAAGCGUGGGUAUCGAACAGGAUUAGAUACCCGUGUAGUC
rnacentral:rRNA from 1 species